ensembl:lncRNA
AGCAGCACCUCUCUGAGGUCUCUGCUUUGGUUCCUGCUGUGGUUUCCUUUAAUGGUGGACUGUAAGCUGCAAACCAAUGUUCCAUGUGGAAGUCAAGGUCGGUGCCACCUCAGUAGGCUCCUGCUGAAAGAAUAUGAGAGACCCUCCUUCAUCUGCAGCACAUCAAAAGGCUUUGGAGCAUUGGAAAAGUGUCCCUUGAAGCUCCCAGAGGAACCAAGGGCAAUGCACUUGGAACCGCUGAGUAGCAAGGAGACACCCCCGACCCCUGCCAAAGUCUCAUUUCUGGGAGUCUCAAAGCAUAAAAUGUGAAAGGGGUUUUUAUGCCGAGCACAACAGCAGGCUGAGGAGCUAGUGUGCCUAAGACCUGGAAUUUCUUUCUGGCUCCCAGCAUGAGUCAUGAUUGUUUCCCUUGCGUCAUCCUCCGCAUGUGACUUUUCAUCUUACAUUCUGGCUUUGCGCCGGGAGACUGCACUGCUCAUGCCAGAGACCCGCUGAAAGGUCACCCCAGAAUGGCUGUGUUGGGAGGGGCUUGCUUAGCAGUGUGGGUCCUGAACUGUGAUCUUUAACUCUCCACUUUGGGGGGUAAAAGCAAGAGUAAAGAAUUCCAAAGGAGCCCCAAAUUCAGAUUUUUGGAAUGAUAAUAUAACCAGAAGUUUUUUUUUUCCUCUCUCUGAAUUACUGUAAACAGCAAGGAGACACAGCCCAUGCAGUUCUUUUAAAUAAGCAGUGAGAAGCCCCUGUGUCUUCCUGGAGGUUUGUAAGCAGAUGUUGCUGAGCCUGCAUCAGACUGGGUUUCUACAUCAUUUAAUCACUUGUCUUGACAUAUCACUUCCGGACACUGCUUGAACCUGUGCAGAAUGAGUUGAGGAGUUUUUUCUGCUACAAAUCCAAGUCCUUGCACAGGCUGAUUUGUUGUACUUAUGAACUAUAUUCCAUGGUAUGUUCCCUUUAUUGUCAACUUCAUACAAGCUAGAGUUAUCAGGAAAGAGGAAAACCUCAAAUGAGAAAAUUCUUCCAUCUGCUUGACCCAUAGGUUCCCGCCUUGAGUUCCUGUCCUGACUUCCCUUCACGAUAGUCUGAAAGCUGUAAGAUCAAAUAAACCCUUUCCUGAGUUGAUUUUGGUCCUGGUCUUCAUUCAGAUCAAUACAAACCUUAAAAAUGGAAACAACUCUGUCCUUGACCUUCAGAAAGAAAUUGACUUGCCUAGCUUAACUAUUCAAACAAACAACUGUAUACUCUCCUCAAUUCCUGUGAUGAUUUUGAUUUACUGUAAAUGACGGGAUUUAAUGAACUAAAUUAUGCUAUUUAAAUGCAUUUUGUGAAUGGUACUGUAGUUUGUUACAAAGCAUUAUGUCUAUGCUAAAUUGUGCUGUAAACGAUAUGGUACGGAACAUAUGUGCUGUACUCAUAAUUUAACCGUUGUUCUGCAGUGCUUCUUGCUAGGACGCAGCAAGGAAGGAGCCUUUAUUUACCUGGUGAAAUGAAGGUGAUAUCUCAGCGAAUCACUAGGUCUUGCUGACCUUGGCAGAAUUACAGUGCUAAUAUUUUCACAUGGAUGAACUCUUCUCGAACAAUUUCUCUAAUGUAUAUGGCAGAAAUAGGCUUUCCAUUAUAGCUGGGUAUAUAUGGUAGAUCUUCUCUUUCCAUUUUUCCCCUUCAACAAACAUUUACUGCAGUCAUUGCAAGGAUAAUUCCACCUCUGCUGAGGUUCACGUCUGCUUCCGGCUUCUCAGUGCACCAGUAAUAGAACACGGAGGUUUGUCCUGCAGGCAUACUGGUAGCCUUUCUGAAAGGACCUGUGUUAAAAAGCACCCCACUUUACUUCUUUCUUAACCACUCAAGAAAUAAAAAGUAGAAUACUCAGGCCAAAAUACUGCUUUAUUCUGGACACAGCUACACUGACUUCAUUUAGGAGCAAAUGGGCUUCCUAGCAGAGUCCAGCAUCAGGGCCCACUUUCCUUACAUGGAAGAUUUAUUUUUGUUAUCACUGUUAUUAUUUUUCUUUUUGGUUUUUGGAGAUUGGGUCUCUAUAUAGUCCUAGCUAUCCUGGAUUCUCUAUGUAGAUUAGGCCACAUGUAGGAUUUAUAAGAUGGAAGAGUUUGUACUUUCUUUCUGUCUGUUGACUUUUUUUGAGCCAGGUAAAGCAGACCCAGUUUUUCUUUACAAAAUUGCCAGUUACGUUUGCAUGAAUAAAGGGAGAGAUGGUCAAAUUCUCCUCGUAGGAGGGAAGCAUUAGACACAAAUAAAAAAACAUUCUCCAAUAACAAUACAACUAAAAAUAUUUUAUUUAUUAUUUUAUUGUGUGCAAUGUGAUUAUGUGUGGCACAUGUAUGUGGAAGGGUAGGGCAGAUGAUAGUUUAUGGGGAUGGGUUGUAAACAAAGGUUUCUUUGUCCUGCCUUGUCCUGCAGCCAAUUCUAAAUAAUCACUCAGAAGCUUAAUAUUAAUUACAAACUGCUUGGCCUAUAGUUCAGGCUUACUACUAACUAGCUCUUACAUUUAAAUUAACCCAUUUCUAUUAAUCUAUGUUUUGCCAUGUGUCUCAUGGCUUUACCUGUGCUCUAAAACAUCUUGCUCCUUCAGUGGCUGUCUGGCACCUCCCAGACUCUGCCCUUCUUCUCUCCUGUAUCCAGUUUGGCUUUCCCACCAAGCUGUAUUCUACCUUGCUAUAGGCCAAAGCAACUUUUUUUUUUUUGUAAAUUUUUUUUAUUAGUUCAAAUUAGGAACAAGCUUGCUUCACAUGUCAAUCCGUUCUCCC